rnacentral:rRNA from 1 species
UUAAGCGACUAAGCGUACACGGUGGAUGCCCUGGCAGUCAGAGGCGAUGAAGGACGUGCUAAUCUGCGAUAAGCGUCGGUAAGGUGAUAUGAACCGUUAUAACCGGCGAUUUCCGAAUGGGGAAACCCAGUGUGUUUCGACACACUAUCAUUAACUGAAUCCAUAGGUUAAUGAGGCGAACCGGGGGAACUGAAACAUCUAAGUACCCCGAGGAAAAGAAAUCAACCGAGAUUCCCCCAGUAGCGGCGAGCGAACGGGGAGCAGCCCAGAGCCUGAAUCAGUGUGUGUGUUAGUGGAAGCGUCUGGAAAGGCGCGCGAUACAGGGUGACAGCCCCGUACACAAAAAUGCACAUAUUGUGAGCUCGAUGAGUAGGGCGGGACACGUGGUAUCCUGUCUGAAUAUGGGGGGACCAUCCUCCAAGGCUAAAUACUCCUGACUGACCGAUAGUGAACCAGUACCGUGAGGGAAAGGCGAAAAGAACCCCGGCGAGGGGAGUGAAAAAGAACCUGAAACCGUGUACGUACAAGCAGUGGGAGCCUCUUUAUGGGGUGACUGCGUACCUUUUGUAUAAUGGGUCAGCGACUUAUAUUCUGUAGCAAGGUUAACCGAAUAGGGGAGCCGAAGGGAAACCGAGUCUUAACUGGGCGUUAAGUUGCAGGGUAUAGACCCGAAACCCGGUGAUCUAGCCAUGGGCAGGUUGAAGGUUGGGUAACACUAACUGGAGGACCGAACCGACUAAUGUUGAAAAAUUAGCGGAUGACUUGUGGCUGGGGGUGAAAGGCCAAUCAAACCGGGAGAUAGCUGGUUCUCCCCGAAAGCUAUUUAGGUAGCGCCUCGUGAAUUCAUCUCCGGGGGUAGAGCACUGUUUCGGCAAGGGGGUCAUCCCGACUUACCAACCCGAUGCAAACUGCGAAUACCGGAGAAUGUUAUCACGGGAGACACACGGCGGGUGCUAACGUCCGUCGUGAAGAGGGAAACAACCCAGACCGCCAGCUAAGGUCCCAAAGUCAUGGUUAAGUGGGAAACGAUGUGGGAAGGCCCAGACAGCCAGGAUGUUGGCUUAGAAGCAGCCAUCAUUUAAAGAAAGCGUAAUAGCUCACUGGUCGAGUCGGCCUGCGCGGAAGAUGUAACGGGGCUAAACCAUGCACCGAAGCUGCGGCAGCGACGCUUAUGCGUUGUUGGGUAGGGGAGCGUUCUGUAAGCCUGUGAAGGUGUGCUGUGAGGCAUGCUGGAGGUAUCAGAAGUGCGAAUGCUGACAUAAGUAACGAUAAAGCGGGUGAAAAGCCCGCUCGCCGGAAGACCAAGGGUUCCUGUCCAACGUUAAUCGGGGCAGGGUGAGUCGACCCCUAAGGCGAGGCCGAAAGGCGUAGUCGAUGGGAAACAGGUUAAUAUUCCUGUACUUGGUGUUACUGCGAAGGGGGGACGGAGAAGGCUAUGUUGGCCGGGCGACGGUUGUCCCGGUUUAAGCGUGUAGGCUGGUUUUCCAGGCAAAUCCGGAAAAUCAAGGCUGAGGCGUGAUGACGAGGCACUACGGUGCUGAAGCAACAAAUGCCCUGCUUCCAGGAAAAGCCUCUAAGCAUCAGGUAACAUCAAAUCGUACCCCAAACCGACACAGGUGGUCAGGUAGAGAAUACCAAGGCGCUUGAGAGAACUCGGGUGAAGGAACUAGGCAAAAUGGUGCCGUAACUUCGGGAGAAGGCACGCUGAUAUGUAGGUGAAGUCCCUCGCGGAUGGAGCUGAAAUCAGUCGAAGAUACCAGCUGGCUGCAACUGUUUAUUAAAAACACAGCACUGUGCAAACACGAAAGUGGACGUAUACGGUGUGACGCCUGCCCGGUGCCGGAAGGUUAAUUGAUGGGGUUAGCGGUAACGCGAAGCUCUUGAUCGAAGCCCCGGUAAACGGCGGCCGUAACUAUAACGGUCCUAAGGUAGCGAAAUUCCUUGUCGGGU